CGUCCACGCGGCGCUCGCUUUUCGUCUCUGCGCAGGCGCGAGUCUUAGGCUAGAACGGCGAGUUCGCAUCUCGCGAGACUGGCUCCCGGCCGGAUGCAGAAGACGCUGGCGGGAAACGACUGGAGACUAGCGGUGGCUUCUCUGGGUGCGGUAUCCAGUGAAGUUCGCCUAUUCCUCGCCUUCCCUACUGCCUGAUCCUCCUGCCACUUAAGACAUUUCCAAAGUCUCGCCCUUAUCCAUGUAAUACGCGGUCUCUGCGCUAGUUCCCUAGAACAGCUCUCCAUAAUCCAUAUGGAGAGCAAACGUGACCAUAAAUAACGUUAAUUCAGGGGUAUCCUUACCCAAGAUAAACCUCAUUGAGAGAGUAAGUGCUGUUGAGCCAAGUAUAUUGACACGUUUGGGAAUACAAAGAUUUAAUCACUUGGUGGGAUAGUUCUGUUUAUUGUGACCAGGUGCUGCAUUAGACCCUUGAAUUAACAACCAUGAACAAGCUGGACAAAGACCCCGUAGCCAUAAUCGAAUUUAGAGAUGGGUGAAAAACAGAUAAACCUACACCAUAACGAAGUAGAAUUCCUAUAAUACAUUCUGUGAAGACAAACUGAAAAUGCUAGUGGAUGGAGUUGGAAGCCAGAGGCCAGAGCAGAAGAAGAACUACAAGAUCUCAAUGAAAAGGGGGAUAUUCAAAAAUCAAAGAUGAAGAUGGCCAGGUGAAUCCUAAGAAGAUCUGAAAGUAGAGCUUUCACACCUGAAGGCACAGCAAGUGUAAAGGCUCUGAGAAGUGAAAUUAAGCUUGUUCCAAUAAUUGAAGGCUUUACAUCCUGUGGUGGCCAUGGAGAUACCCCUCUCUGAUCUCCUUCAUGAGAACCUGCUGUGGAGAACACAGAUGACACCAACUGCCACUCAAGAACCAGAACUGAUACAGGUAAAACUAAGAAAGGUCUAAGAAGAAAGAAUAUUGUAUAGGAUUUGAGGAUUGAUUCACUCACUGUCCAGAUGGCAAGGAGGAGCACAUUCCAAAUGAACUGUGAGGUUGCCAUAAAUUGAGCGGCUUUCCCCUGCUGCCACAGGCUUCUGCCACAAUGAAUUUCUGCCUUGCUGUAGACAGAAAAGCGAGUGUGCCAAGCAACCUUGGCUAAAGCCUCUGAAACUGUGAACCAAGAUGGAUCUUUUCUCCUUUAAGCUCUUUUAAAUUGUUUUUCUCAGGUAUCAUAUCACAGUGAUGUAACGUUAACUAAUACACAGCAAAAGCAGUGGUUAGAGGGAAAUUUUUGGCUUUAUCCAUUUAAUCUCCAACUUCAUUGACAUGGGUAACCAACAGAAGAAGGUGGUGCCUUACCACAGAACUUUACACAUACCUGGUCCAGCACUUUGAGAAGCUGAUGAUAUUCAGUGAGAGCCAGUUGCUGCUUAUAUUAGAAAAUAAACACGUUUAAAAUAAACAAUAUGUUGCAUCAAAAAACAAGGAAGCUUA